rnacentral:rRNA from 1 species
GACGAACGCUGGCGGCGUGCUUAACACAUGCAAGUCGAACGGUGAACGAGGGAGCUUGCUCCCUCCGGAUCAGUGGCGAACGGGUGAGUAACACGUGAGCAAUCUGCCCCGAACUCUGGGAUAAGCGUUGGAAACGACGUCUAAUACCGGAUACGACGCGGGAGGGCAUCCUCUCCGCGUGGAAAGAACUUCGGUUCGGGAUGAGCUCGCGGCCUAUCAGCUUGUUGGUGAGGUAACGGCUCACCAAGGCGACGACGGGUAGCCGGCCUGAGAGGGUGACCGGCCACACUGGGACUGAGACACGGCCCAGACUCCUACGGGAGGCAGCAGUGGGGAAUAUUGCACAAUGGGCGCAAGCCUGAUGCAGCAACGCCGCGUGAGGGACGACGGCCUUCGGGUGGUAAACCUCUUUUAGCAGGGAAGAAGCGAAAGUGACGGUACCUGCAGAAAAAGCACCGGCGAACUACGU